CGGGGAAGAAAGAGAGUGGCGCACGGGUGAGUAACACGUAGGUAAUUUGCCUUCGGGUGGGGAAUAACAGCCGGAAACGGCUGCUAAUACCGCAUAAUGCAGCGGCUCGACAUCGAGACAGUUGUUAAAGCGGGGGAUCGCAAGACCUCGCGCCUGAAGAGAAGCCUGCGGCAGAUUAGCUAGUUGGUAGGGUAAUGGCCUACCAAGGCAACGAUCUGUAGCCGGCCUGAGAGGGCGGUCGGCCACACUGACACUGACAUACGGGUCAGACUCCUACGGGAGGCAGCAGUCGGGAAUUUUGGGCAAUGGGCGAAAGCCUGACCCAGCAACGCCGCGUGAAGGAUGAAAUCCCUCGGGAUGUAAACUUCGCAAGAACGGGAAGAAUAAGUAGAAGCCAAUACCUUCUAUGAUGACGGUACCGUUUGUAAGCUCCGGCUAACUCCGUGCCAGCAGCCGCGGUAAUACGGGGGGAGCAAGCGUUGUUCGGAUUUACUGGGCGUAAAGGGCGCGUAGGCGGUCGUGACAAGUCACUUGUGAAAUCUCCGGGCUUAACUCGGAGCGGUCAAGUGAUACUGUCGGACUAGAGUACAGAAGGGGCAACUGGAAUUCUCGGUGUAGCGGUGAAAUGCGUAGAUAUCGAGAGGAACACCUGCGGCGAANGGCGGGUUGCUGGGCUGAUACUGACGCUGAGGCGCGAAAGCCAGGGGAGCGAACGGGAUUAGAUACCCCGGUAGUCCUGG
rnacentral:rRNA from 1 species